CAGUAGCCGCGGGAAAACGGAGGGUGCAAGCGUUAAUCGGAAUUACUGGGCGUAAAGCGCACGCAGGCGGUCUGACAAGUCAGAUGUGAAAUCCCCGGGCUUAACCUGGGAACUGCAUUUGAAACUGUCAGGCUGGAGUCUUGUAGAGGGGGGUGGAAUUCCAGGUGUAGCGGUGAAAUGCGUAGAGAUCUGGAGGAAUACCGGUGGCGAAGGCGGCCCCCUGGACAAAGACUGACGCUCAGGUGCGAAAGCGUGGGGAGCAAACAGGAUUAGAGACCCCAGUAGUCCCUGUCUCUUAUAA
rnacentral:rRNA from 1 species